UGGUGAGUUUAAGUUAGUGCACAAAUUAGUUUCAAUACCAAACGAACGUGAAAAGGUCUGUCGGAGGUUUCACCAUUAACGUUGGUUAGCUUAGUGAUUUUACAAUCAGUUUUUGCUCAUCGCAAAAAAUAGGAGUGGAACUCUAAAAUCAGAGCAACGACAUGAAGGGUUUGUGGUUUGUUAGCCUUGCUUUACUUCUUGUACUCAUGAUCAGAACAUCAGCCGGAAAAGACAUUGGCUGGUGUGUUCGAGCUGGAGGAGCAGAUGAUUACCGAACAAACGAAAGGACUAAAGGAUGUGGAAAGAAACUUGGAAAAUAUUGCUAUUGGUACUCUGGCGUCACGGUGUGUGAAAAUACAUACGGUAUGGACAGGUGUUGCAGGGAAGACGAACAAGAACUUAGCUAUACCUGGAGAUCGAUUUAAAAAUGUACAUGAGACUUACAUGUUUUAUUGGUGAAAAUAAAAAAGCGGUUGGAACCAGA